GUUUGUCCCUCAUCCCUACCACAAAACAACUCAUUGUAGGAUUCCACCUGAGAUAAUCUGAUGCUAUUCCUAGAGCAUUCACUUCCCAUUCCCUUGAGUUCAAGAAAAAUAUUUAAAUACCAUGUAUAAUCUCUACUGAAGAGUUAACAUGUUUUUUAUUUCUUUUUUUCCCUCUAAAAUACAAGAAGACAACUGUGUUCUUUCCUGUGUGGUCUUGUAUGAUCUACUGCUCCGCAGGGACAAAGAUCACUUGUGUAAGAGAGAGCAAUUGCUUAUUGAUGUGUUAGUAGGAAAUGAAGUUGUUAUAAAGGGUAGGUAAAUGACAGCAUCUUUCGGAAAGAUAUGUGGAGUCUCUCCUGCUUCCUCUUGGGGUACAUGCAAAUGUUGCCAGUUACUUGCCCUAAGGUGAGUCUGAAAAUACACUGCUAGAGUGAAAGUUCAGAACAUGAGCAACUAAGGAAGUCCUUCUUAUCACUGUUCUCACUUUCUCUCUUGUUUUUCAGUGGUGUUUGUUUCCUUUCCACAAAGAAGACAACAGCUCUGGAUUCUGAUAAAACGAAGCUUGGCAGAGUCCCAAGCAAGUUCUGGGACUACACUCAGCUUGAGCAUCUCAUUUAUCUCACAGCUGUCAGUCCUCAAAUGGCAGCGCCUCCUGGAAAGAGAUCUUCCCCAUCAGUUAGAGGACAGCCUUGGCCUGAGGUGCUCUUGAAUGCAGCCCAACGCUCUCAAAUACAGGAGGUCAUGGAGGCACUACUUGUCUGUGUGGUUCCAGAGGUCAGUCCCAUGGCCCUGCAAAAGUUAAAAGGGAAUGGGGAGAAGUAAUGACAGAGCUGGCGACACCUUUGAAUCCUCUGAAGUGGAUCCAUAGCCCAAGUGGUGCAUCCUGCCCUACCAAAGAUUUUAGAAGCACUUCUACUCCACAUCUGUCUAUUUGGGCUCAGCCCAGAAGCCGUCAGUGAACUCUGAUAAAUUGGUGAGUUUCUACUAAUUUCAGAGGAGCCCCAUUUCAUCUUACAGGUAUUGCCCCAUAGGUCUCCUGGAUCAUGACAACACCCAAUACCCCCUUCCAGAACAGGGAAGAAAAGCUGUGGACUGCUGUUGGGUAAGCAGGGUGUUUCAGUGCUAUUUUUCAUGUAAGAUUCCUG
rnacentral:lncRNA from 1 species